rnacentral:rRNA from 1 species
CCUACGGGAGGCAGCAGUAAGGAAUAUUGGUCAAUGGAGGCAACUCUGAACCAGCCAUGCCGCGUGCAGGAUGACGGCCCUAUGGGUUGUAAACUGCUUUUAUACAAGAGAAAACCCUGGUACGUGUACCAGGUUGAUAGUAUUGUAAGAAUAAGCAUCGGCUAACUUCGUGCCAGCAGCCGCGGUAAGACGAAGGAUGCAAGCGUUAUCCGGAUUCAUUGGGUUUAAAGGGUGCGUAGGCGGACUGAUAAGUCAGUGGUGAAAUCUCUUUGCUUAACAAAGAAACUGCCAUUGAUACUGUCGGUCUAGAGUAUAGAUGACGUUGGCGGAAUAUGACAUGUAGUGGUGAAAUACUUAGAUAUGUCAUAGAACACCGAUUGCGAAGGCAGCUAACGAAACUAUAACUGACGCUGAGGCACGAAAGUGCGGGGAUCAAACAGGAUUAGAUACCCUGGUAGUCCGCACCGUAAACGAUGAUUACUCGUUGUUGGCGAUAUGACAGUCAGCGACCAAGCGAAAGCGAUAAGAAUCCACCUGGGGAGUACGCCGGCAACGGUGAAACUCAAAUGAAAUUGACGG